rnacentral:lncRNA from 1 species
UGUCAUAGUAAGGAGGGGCUUUUCUUCAGCAGACUCCUCCCUCGGUAUCUCCUUCAUCACCAUGGCAACAGCCUUAUCUGCCGCCCUAGAGCCUUUUCCCUAUAACAGUGAAAUCAACAAUGACUGUGUCAGGAGAGAUCUUUAACUUAUUAUUUAUUACAAGAUAUUCUAAUGUUUAAAGAGCAAUCCAACAUAAAUGAAGAGAACAUAAGAAACAGCAUACACAAUACUGGACAUCACAGGACCCUCUCCGGCUGGAUACCAGGCUGUAGAACCACCAGAUGCUUCAGAUGAGAAAGGUUGGAUCUGUUUCACAGGGAAGGGGCUAAACUGUUUCAAGAGGCGACCACGCGCUGGGCACUCUGUACUUUGCAACCUACCAAGUAUCAUCACAAGAGCUAUGAAAGUGAAGAGAGACAUACGUUAUCUAAGAAUCUGAGAGAGAUGACUCAGUCAGCAUCCUCUCUCUUGGUGUACAAUGGUAGGGACAGCUACUGUGUCAUCUGGAGCAUGACAAUGAGAACACAGACACUGGAUCGUCCUGAUAUAGCCUGCAGUCCAUCUGGGCCUCUAGACAUUCAUUUGCAUUUGCAUUCAUGCGCAUCCCCUACUACUCCAACUCCUACACCUUUUGGCAGGAUAUAUCCACACAGCUGGAUUGGAAUCACAAGAUGUUUUUAUUUUUUGCCUCAUUAAACUAGUUUCUCUCA